CCUACGGGAGGCAGCAGUGGGGAAUAUUGGACAAUGGGCGCAAGCCUGAUCCAGCCAUGCCGCGUGAGUGAUGAAGGCCUUAGGGUUGUAAAGCUCUUUUGCCAGGGAAGAUAAUGACUGUACCUGGAGAAUAAGCCCCGGCUAACUUCGUGCCAGCAGCCGCGGUAAUACGAAGGGGGCUAGCGUUGUUCGGAAUCACUGGGCGUAAAGCGCACGUAGGCGGACUUUUAAGUCAGGGGUGAAAGCCUGAGGCUCAACCUCAGAACUGCCCUUGAUACUGGGAGUCUUGAGUAUGGUAGAGGUUGGUGGAACAGCAAGUGUAGAGGUGAAAUUCGUAGAUAUUUGCUAGAACACCAGUGGCGAAGGCGGCCAACUGGACCAUAACUGACGCUGAGGUGCGAAAGCGUGGGGAGCAAACAGGAUUAGAUACCCUGGUAGUCCACGCCGUAAACGAUGGAUGCUAGCCGUUAGCCAGUCUUGCUGGGUAGUGGCGCGAACGGUUAACCCUUUAAGCUACGUCCCGCCGUGGGGAGUCGGUCGCAAGUAUUAAAACUCAAUGAAUUGACCGGNGUGAGAGCGCCGACGACGACGACGAGGGAGGAGG
rnacentral:rRNA from 1 species